ACUCGAGUGGCGAACGGGUGAGUAACACGUGGGUGAUCUGCCCUGCACUUCGGGAUAAGCCUGGGAAACUGGGUCUAAUACUGGAUAUGACCUUUCUCCUUAUGGGGUUUGGUGGAAAGUUUUUCGGUGUAGGAUGAGCCCGCGGCCUAUCAGCUUGUUGGUGGGGUAAUGGCCUACCAAGGCGGCGACGGGUAGCCGGCCUGAGAGGGUGUACGGCCACAUUGGGACUGAGAUACGGCCCAG
rnacentral:rRNA from 1 species